GUCCAGACUCCUACGGGAGGCAGCAGUGGGGAAUAUUGCACAAUGGGCGAAAGCCUGAUGCAGCGACGCCGCGUGAGUGAAGAAGUAUUUCGGUAUGUAAAGCUCUGUCAGCAGGGAAGAAAGCAAUGACGGUACCUGACCAAGAAGCCCCGGCUAACUACGUGCCAGCAGCCGCGGUAAUACGUAGGGGGCAAGCGUUAUCCGGAAUUACUGGGUGUAAAGGGAGCGUAGACGGCUGUGCAAGUCUGGAGUGAAAGGCGGGGGCCCAACCCCCGGACUGCUCUGGAAACUGUAUGGCUGGAGUGCAGGAGAGGUAAGCGGAAUUCCUAGUGUAGCGGUGAAAUGCGUAGAUAUUAGGAGGAACACCAGUGGCGAAAGCGGAUUGCUGGACAGUAACUGACGCUGAGGCGCGAAAGCGUGGGGAGCAAACAGGAUUAGAUACCCUAGUA
rnacentral:rRNA from 1 species